rnacentral:tRNA from 1 species
AUUGACUGAAGCCAAGAGGCUAACCAUUGUUGCUGGUUAUAUUGGAGCUACCCGGUCGUUU